rnacentral:tRNA from 2 species
GAGAUGUUAGUAAACUAAUUACAUAAUCUUGUCAAGAUUAAAUCACAAGUGAAAACCCUGUACAUCUCA